CCAACUCUGGGCGAGAAGACGGGGAAAGACGUAGGGGGCUGGCGGGGUCCGGAUGUAUGUGGCGGAAAGGGCGCGGAGGCGGCGUGGGCAGUCGGAGGUGAAAACGCCAGGCUCAACCUGGAGAAGCCAUCCGAUACUGCUAUUGCUUGAGUCCGGUAGGGGACCACGGAAUACCUGGUGUAGCGGUGAAAUGCGCAGAUAUCAGGUGGAACACCGGUGGCGAAGGCGGUGGUCUGGGCCGGAACUGACGCUGAGGAGCGAAAGCGUGGGGAGCGAACAGGAUUAGAUACCCCAGUAGUC
rnacentral:rRNA from 1 species